rnacentral:ncRNA from 2 species
CUGAAUCGACAGGGGAGCGCUAACCGAGCGCUGAGAGUGCCGAUGUGGCAGACCCUCGAACCUGAUCCGGUUAGUACCGGUGUAGGGAGUUCGAAUCUUCUCUCGU